rnacentral:lncRNA from 1 species
GAAAAUGAUACUUGGUCUUACCAUUUUAUAUUACUUGAUACGAUUCGGUACACUUGUCGGAGUCUUAACAUGUUUUUGGCGCCGUUGCCGGGGACUCGUGGUAUAACUAUUCUAUUUGUGUGAUUCUUAACCGACUAGACUUUUUAUCUUUUUAUUUUUUUUAAUGUUUCUAUCUUUUUAUCUUUAUAUCUUUUUAUUUUUUUUUAUCUUUCUAUGUUUCUAUCUUUUUAUCUUUCUAUCUUUCUAUCUUUUUAUCUUUUAUCUUUCUAUCUUUCUAUCUUUAUCUUUCUAAAAAAAAAGAGAGAAAAAAAAAUAUCUUUUACUAUUUUUAUUGUUUUGGGCUAAUUCUGUGCUCUAGUGCAGUGUUCUUUAAUGUAUGCAACAUAAAAUUUGUACUAGGAGCACAAGAUCAUCUGGACCUCUCUUUUUAGGUUUGGAAGUAGAGAAGACUGCCAAUAGUAGAUAAAGAAGAUAGAUAAUGAAGAAGGCAGAUAAGAAAGGAGAAUUGGUUCACCAACACCCUGAUGUGAAAGGUGAUGGAC